ACGAACGCUGGCGGCGUGGAUAAGACAUGCAAGUCGAACGAGAGAAUUGCUAGCUUGCUAAUAAUUCUCUAGUGGCGCACGGGUGAGUAACACGUGAGUAACCUGCCCCCGAGAGCGGGAUAGCCCUGGGAAACUGGGAUUAAUACCGCAUAGUAUCGAAAGAUUAAAGCAGCAAUGCGCUUGGGGAUGGGCUCGCGGCCUAUUAGUUAGUUGGUGAGGUAACGGCUCACCAAGGCGAUGACGGGUAGCCGGUCUGAGAGGAUGUCCGGCCACACUGGAACUGAGACACGGUCCAGACACCUACGGGUGGCAGCAGUCGAGAAUCAUUCACAAUGGGGGAAACCCUGAUGGUGUGACGCCGCGUGGGGGAAUGAAGGUCUUCGGAUUGUAAACCCCUGUCAUGUGGGAGCAAAUUAAAAAGAUAGUACCACAAGAGGAAGAGACGGCUAACUCUGUGCCAGCAGCCGCGGUAAUACAGAGGUCUCAAGCGUUGUUCGGAAUCACUGGGCGUAAAGCGUGCGUAGGCUGUUUCGUAAGUCGUGUGUGAAAGGCGCGGGCUCAACCCGCGGACGGCACAUGAUACUGCGAGACUAGAGUAAUGGAGGGGGAACCGGAAUUCUCGGUGUAGCAGUGAAAUGCGUAGAUAUCGAGAGGAACACUCGUGGCGAAGGCGGGUUCCUGGACAUUAACUGACGCUGAGGCACGAAGGCCAGGGGAGCGAAAGGGAUUAGAUACCCCUGUAGUCCUGGCAGUAAACGGUGCACGCUUGGUGUGCGGGGAAUCGACCCCCUGCGUGCCGGAGCUAACGCGUUAAGCGUGCCGCCUGGGGAGUACGGUCGCAAGAUUAAAACUCAAAGAAAUUGACGGGGACCCGCACAAGCGGUGGAGUAUGUGGCUUAAUUCGAUGCAACGUGAAGAACCUUACCUGGGCUUGACAUGUAAUGAACAACAUGUGAAAGCAUGCGACUCUUCGGAGGCGUUACACAGGUGCUGCAUGGCCGUCGUCAGCUCGUGUCGUGAGAUGUUUGGUUAAGUCCAGCAACGAGCGCAACCCCUGUUGCCAGUUACCAGCACGUGAAGGUGGGGACUCUGGCGAGACUGCCCAGAUCAACUGGGAGGAAGGUGGGGACGACGUCAGGUCAGUAUGGCCCUUAUGCCCAGGGCUGCACACGUACUACAAUGCCCAGUACAGAGGGGGCCGAAGCCGCGAGGCGGAGGAAAUCCUGAAAACUGGGCCCAGUUCGGACUGUAGGCUGCAACCCGCCUACACGAAGCCGGAAUCGCUAGUAAUGGCGCAUCAGCUACGGCGCCGUGAAUACGUUCCCGGGUCUUGUACACACCGCCCGUCACAUCAUGGAAGCCGGUCGCACCCGAAGUAUCUGAAGCCAACCGCAAGGAGGCAGGGUCCUAAGGUGAGACUGGUAACUGGGAUG
rnacentral:rRNA from 1 species